UGGGGAAUUUUGCACAAUGGGGGAAACCCUGAUGCAGCGACGCCGCGUGAUUUAGAAGGCCUUCGGGUUGUAAAAAUCUUUUCUAUGGGAAGAAAAUGACAGUACUAUAGGAAUAAGGACCGGCUAAUUACGUGCCAGCAGCCGCGGUAAUACGUAAGGUCCGAGCGUUGUCCGGAAUCAUUGGGCGUAAAGGGUACGUAGGCGGGUAAGCAAGUUAGAAGUGAAAUCCUAUAGCUCAACUAUAGUAAGCUUUUAAAACUGCUCAUCUUGAGGUAUGGAAGGGAAAGUGGAAUUCCUAGUGUAGCGGUGAAAUGCGCAGAUAUUAGGAGGAAUACCGGUGGCGAAGGCGACUUUCUGGCCAUAACCUGACGCUGAGGUACGAAAGCGUGGGUAGCAAACAGG
rnacentral:rRNA from 1 species